ensembl:lncRNA
GACGUCUCGCGGCUGGAGGAGCUUCCUCUCUGCAGCUGCAGGAUGGAAGCUCCUCGGAUCGACAGCAGCGGCCAGCGCAGCAGCAGACAGUGCAUGGCCACGGAGAGCAUCAACGGAGAGCUGCGGGCGUGCACCAGCUGGACGGUGAAAGGCGAGACCAUGCGACCGUCCAGCCGCGUCUCCCUCAUGGUGCUCUGCGACGUCCAUCGCUCACACAUGGUCAAACACCACUGCUGUCCGGGCUGUGGGUACUUCUGCAUCGCAGGCACGUUUCUGGAGUGCUGUCCCGACCAGCGCAUCGCGCACCGCUUCCACCGCGGCUGCGUGACCGUGCUGAGCAGCGGGCGCAGCCGCGCCAACGGCGGCGGCAUGAUCUUCUGCCCCCACUGCGGGGAGGACGCCUCGGAGGCCCAGGAGAUCACCCUCCCGUCCUCCAGCGCCGCCGCCACCCCGCCGCAGUCGGCCGCCGCCGCCGCCACCGUCACUGCCGCCGCCACCCCUCCAGGAGAGGAGGGAGUGGAUAGCGUGGGGCCGUCGCUAUGCAUGCCGAACGGGAAGCCGGUCUGCCCGAGCGCGCUUCCGCCUGGAACCAGCAGGGCGGCGCUGCAGAAAGCAAUUCUGACCCAGGACUCAGAGAGGAGGAAGAAGUUGAGGUUUCACCCUCGACAACUCUAUCCAGCCGCCAAGCAAGGGGAGGGGCAAAGAGUUCUGCUGAUGCUGAUGGAGGGAAUCGAUCCCACGUACCAGCCGGACUCCCAGAAUCGGCGCUCCGCUCUACACGCUGCAGCUCAAAGAGGUUUACUGGAGAUCUGCUACAUGCUGAUACAGGCCGGCGCCAACGUGGACGCCAAGGACAAAGAAAUGAGGACUCCUCUGCUGGAGGCCGUCAUCAACAACCACGUGGAGGUGGCCCGCUACCUGGUCCAGAGCGGAGCCUGCGUCUAUCACGUCGAGGACGACGGAUACACCGGCCUUCACCACGCCGCCAAGCUGGGGAACCUGGAAAUCGUUAACAUGCUUCUGGAGACGGGCCAGGUGGACGUGAACGCACAGGACAACGGGGGCUGGACGCCCAUCAUCUGGGCUGCCGAGCACAAACACGUGGAGGUGAUCAAGGCUCUGCUGAACCGAGGAGCAGACGUCUCCAUCACGGAUAAGGAGAUGAACGUUUGUCUCCACUGGGCGGCGUACGCGGGAAGUGUGGACAUCGCCGAGAUGGUGUUGAACUCCGGCUGCUCGCUCGCCUCCGUCAACGUCCACGGCGACACGCCGCUGCACAUCGCCGCCAGGGAGGGAUACCUGGACUGUGUGACGUUGUUCCUCAGCAGAGGUGCAGACAUCGACAUCAUGAACAAAGAGGGGGACACGCCGCUCAGCCUGGCCCGGGCCGACACCCCCGUGUGGGUGUCGCUCCAGAUCAACAGGAAACUACGGCGAGGAAUUACAAACCGUCUCCUCCGGACCGAGAGAAUCAUAAGCCGGGACAUCGCCCAAGGCUACGAGAACGUGCCCAUCCCCUGCGUGAACGGCGUGGACGAGGAGGGCUGCCCGUCCGACUACAAAUACGUUUCGGAGAACUGCGAAACAUCGGCCAUGAACAUCGACCGGAACAUCACGCACCUGCAGCACUGCGGCUGCACGGACGACUGCUCCUCCAGUAACUGCCUCUGUGGGCAGCUCAGCAUCCGGUGCUGGUACGACAAGGACCAGCGGCUGCUGCAGGAGUUCAACAAGAUCGAGCCUCCGCUCAUCUUUGAGUGCAACAUGGCGUGCUCCUGUUACCGCAGCUGCAAGAACAGAGUGGUUCAGGCCGGCAUCAAAGUCCGGCUGCAGCUCUACAGGACGGAGAAGAUGGGCUGGGGGGUCCGAGCUCUGCAGGACAUCCCCCAAGGGAGCUUCAUCUGCGAGUACGUCGGAGAGCUGAUUUCUGACGCCGAGGCCGACGUCCGAGAAGACGACUCCUACCUGUUCGACCUGGAUAACAAGGACGGGGAGGUGUACUGCAUAGACGCCCGUUACUACGGCAACAUCAGCCGCUUCAUCAACCACCUGUGCGACCCGAACCUCAUCCCGGUGCGGGUCUUCAUGCUGCACCAGGACCUGCGCUUCCCGCGCAUCGCCUUCUUCAGCUCGCGGGACAUCCUGAGCGGGCAGGAGCUGGGGUUCGACUACGGCGACCGCUUCUGGGACAUCAAGAGCAAGUACUUCACCUGCCAGUGCGGCUCGGAGAAAUGCAAACACUCGGCCGAGGCCAUCGCCCUGGAGCAGAGCAGGCUGGCCCGGCUGGAGGCCGGAUCGGAGUCGGGGGGCGACUGCGGGGCGAUGAUGGGGAGCUCGUGAGGCGCGAGGUUCAUGUUUGACUCUCUAAGCUGCCACUUUAUCCUCCCACCUGCAGUAAAGCUGGACUUUUAUCAAAUGUUUGGGUUUCAGCCUCUUUCACUCAUUUCAGUUGUUUUAUUUCGUGCCACCUCAUCGUCCCGGGACCACGUGAAGCCUUAACCCGGACAGACUUGUUAGGACUCGUGUGCUCGUCGAUUGUCUUGUAUUGUUAGCAUUUCAUCUUUAUUUUUAUAUUCCUGAGUAAUAAAAAUAUUGAAAGUUGUUUUGGUUUCA